UAUUGCGCAAUGGGCGAAAGCCUGACGCAGCAACGCCGCGUGAGGGAUGAAGGUUCUCGGAUUGUAAACCUCUGUCAGGGGGGAAAAAACCUAUAUCGGUUAAUACCCGGUAUAAUUGAUGGUACCCCCAAAGGAAGCACCGGCUAACUCCGUGCCAGCAGCCGCGGUAAUACGGGGGGUGCAAGCGUUGUUCGGAAUUAUUGGGCGUAAAGCGCACGUAGGUGGCAUCAGAAGUCCGGUGUGAAAUCCCCCGGCUUAACCGAGGAAGUGCGCCGGAAACCAUGAAGCUUGAGUAUAGGAGGGGAGAGUGGAAUUCCCAGUGUAGAGGUGAAAUUCGUAGAUAUUGGGAGGAACACCGGUGGCGAAAGCGACUCUCUGGACUAUUACUGACACUAAGUCGAAA
rnacentral:rRNA from 1 species